rnacentral:rRNA from 1 species
AUUGAACGCUGGCGGCAGGCCUAACACAUGCAAGUCGAGCGGAUGACGGGAGCUUGCUCCUUGAUUCAGCGGCGGACGGGUGAGUAAUGCCUAGGAAUCUGCCUGGUAGUGGGGGACAACGUUGCGAAAGGAACGCUAAUACCGCAUACGUCCUACGGGAGAAAGCAGGGGACCUUCGGGCCUUGCGCUAUCAGAUGAGCCUAGGUCGGAUUAGCUUGUUGGUGAGGUAAUGGCUCACCAAGGCGACGAUCCGUAACUGGUCUGAGAGGAUGAUCAGCCACACUGGGACUGAGACACGGCCCAGACUCCUACGGGAGGCAGCAGUGGGGAAUUUUGGACAAUGGGGGCAAGCCUGAUCCAGCCAUGCCGCGUGUGUGAAGAAGGCCUUCGGGUUGUAAAGCGCUUUUGGUUGGGAGGAAGGGCUCUAGGCUAAUACCCUGCGGGGAUGACGGUACCGGAAGAAUAAGCACCGGCUAACUACGUG